GGGGCACAGGCCUGUGGGUGCCCAGGAGCCACCGCCCAUGAGGCCCUUCCUGCAGGCUCCUCCCGGCCUGGCAGCCUCAGUGACUUGGGAGGGGUCAGGCCCAGGGCUGAACAGGCCAGGGCUUACCCACACCCCUGUCACCUGCCGUGUGACCCAGGACCAUGACUCUACCUCUUGGUGCCUGUCUCCUUUCCCUUGGGAGGAUGAAACCGAGGCAUAGAGUGGUGGGCAGAAGACCACUCCAAGAGUGAGCGAUGGUGGGACUGGAACCUCAGGGGCCUCAGACGGCUGUCACCUGCUGCAGCUGCACAGGCACAGAGCCCAGGGGCCAUGGCGAAAAUGGACCUCUCCUUCAGGCCCUCCAGGAACAGGGCCACCAGCUCAGCGAUGGCCACACUGCUGGGUGACACAAA
rnacentral:lncRNA from 1 species